rnacentral:rRNA from 1 species
UAUACAUGCAGUCGAGCGGACAGAUGGGAGCUUGCUCCCUGAUGUUAGCGGCGGACGGGUGAGUAACACGUGGGUAACCUGCCUGUAAGACUGGGAUAACUCCGGGAAACCGGGGCUAAUACCGGAUGGUUGUUUGAACCGCAUGGUUCAGACAUAAAAGGUGGCUUCGGCUACCACUUACAGAUGGACCCGCGGCGCAUUAGCUAGUUGGUGAGGUAACGGCUCACCAAGGCGACGAUGCGUAGCCGACCUGAGAGGGUGAUCGGCCACACUGGGACUGAGACACGGCCCAGACUCCUACGGGAGGCAGCAGUAGGGAAUCUUCCGCAAUGGACGAAAGUCUGACGGAGCAACGCCGCGUGAGUGAUGAAGGUUUUCGGAUCGUAAAGCUCUGUUGUUAGGGAAGAACAAGUGCCGUUCAAAUAGGGCGGCACCUUGACGGUACCUAACCAGAAAGCCACGGCUAACUACGUGCCAGCAGCCGCGGUAAUACGUAGGUGGCAAGCGUUGUCCGGAAUUAUUGGGCGUAAAGGGCUCGCAGGCGGUUUCUUAAGUCUGAUGUGAAAGCCCCCGGCUCAACCGGGGAGGGUCAUUGGAAACUGGGGAACUUGAGUGCAGAAGAGGAGAGUGGAAUUCCACGUGUAGCGGUGAAAUGCGUAGAGAUGUGGAGGAACACCAGUGGCGAAGGCGACUCUCUGGUCUGUAACUGACGCUGAGGAGCGAAAGCGUGGAGAGCGAACAGGAUUACAUACCCUGGUAGUCCACGCCGUACACUAUGAGUGCUAAGUGUUAGGGGGUUUCCGCCCCUUAGUGCUGCAGCUAACGCAUUAAGCACUCCGCCUGGGGAGUACGGUCGCAAGACUGAAACUCAAAGGAAUUGACCGGGGGCGACACAAUCAGUGCAACAUGUGGUUUAAUUCGAAUGACCGCGAAGAACCUUACCAGGUCUUGACAUCCUACUGACAUCCGAGUGAUGGGACAGGCCCCUUCGGGGUCACAGUGACAUGGGAUGCAGGUUGUCGUCCCUUCGAGCCAAGAGAUGUUGAGGCUAAAUCCUUCACCAUCCCACCCCUUGACCUUAGUUGACUUUCUUUCAAUGGGCAAUAUUAGG